rnacentral:rRNA from 1 species
AUACGGAGGAUCCGAGCGUUAUCCGGAUUUAUUGGGUUUAAAGGGAGCGUAGGCGGACGCUUAAGUCAGUUGUGAAAGUUUGGGGCUCAACCUUAAAAUUGCAGUUGAUACUGGUUUCCUUGAGUACGGUACAGGUGGGCGGAAUUCGUGGUGUAGCGGUGAAAUGCUUAGAUAUCACGAAGAACUCCGAUCGCGAAGGCAGCUCACCGGGCCGGAACUGACACUGAUGCUCGAAAGUGCGGGUAUCAAACAGGAUUAGAUACCCUGGUAGUCCGCACAGUAAACGAUGAAUACUCGCUGUUUGCGAUACACGGUAAGCGGCCAAGCGAAAGCGUUAAGUAUUCCACCUGGGGAGUACGCCGGCAACGGUGAAACUCAAAGGAAUUGACGGGG